GACGAACGCUGGCGGCGUGCUUAACACAUGCAAGUCGAACGGAAAGGCCCUGCUUUUGUGUGGUGCUCGAGUGGCGCACGGGUGUGUAGCACGUGAGUAUCCUGCCCUUUACGUUGGGAUAACUUCAGGAAACUGGGGCUAAUACCGGAUAGGAGCUCCUGCUGCAGGGUGGUGGUUGGAAAGUUUCGGUGGUUGGGGAUGGACGCGCGGCUUAUCAGCUUGUUGGUGGGGUAGUGGCUUACCAAGGCUUUGGCGGGUAGCCGGCAUGAGAGGGUGGCCGGGCACAUUGGGACUGAGAGACGGACCAGACGCGUACGGGAGGCAGCAGUGGAGAAUAUUGCACAAUGGGGGGAAGCCUGAUGAAGCAACGCCGCGUGCGGGAUGACGGCCUUCGGGUUGUAAACCGCUGUAGCCUGUGACGAAGCGUGAGUGACGGUAAUGGGUAAAGAAGCACCGGCUAACUACGUG
rnacentral:rRNA from 1 species